rnacentral:rRNA from 1 species
UGAAUACUAGGUGUAGGGGGUGUCAACUCCCCCUGUGCCGCCGCUAACGCAUUAAGUAUUCCGCCUGGGGAGUACGGUCGCAAGAUUAAAACUCAAAGGAAUUGACGGGGGCCCGCACAAGUAGCGGAGCAUGUGGUUUAAUUCGACGCAACGCGAAGAACCUUACCUAGACUUGACAUCUUCUGCAUUACCCUUAAUCGGGGAAGUUCCUUCGGGGACAGAAUGACAGGUGGUGCAUGGCUGUCGUCAG